GUUUUUCUACUGUUGGGAUUCAGUUCCGCCGACAGAAAAUGCGGAGAACGCGGAGGAAGUCCCUGAGGGGAAAUUGCUGCUCACCUGGCUCCCGCUGCUCCGCAGGUGCGGUGAAGGCUAAUGUCGAAUUUCUGCAGCAAUCGGAGCAGCCCUUACUCCAGUUACAUUAACACCAAUCUCGGUCUCCCACUAGGGCUUUAUAAAUUGCUUUCAUAAACGUCUUUUUAAUGUAACACUGAAUAAAAUGUUUUAUAAGCGUCUUUUAUAAGGAUCGUAAGUGAAAGGGCGCUGUCUCCGAUUUGCAGGUGAGCAGACAGCUUCGGAGUGAGAACGGCUCCCCGCGGGUCCCCGGUGGCGCGCGGCUCCCGGAGGCAAAACAAAGCUGGGGCCGGGGCGUCGGAGCCUCCGCGUUGUAGUUGGGAGAGGUUCGAACGGGGCCCCAGCUGGCGAAAGGGAAAACGGACCCGGACCCGGACCCGUGGAGCCUGCUCGAAAGCCGGGUGCUGGGGGUCUGGGCCCCGUGUCCCCCCUCUUUUUCUUCUUCAAUAAGAAAUUCCUCAAGGGCAGACUGCGAGUCCACAGUCGUGAAGCCACCUAAUCUGGCUUCAUACCUGGAAUGUUUGGAUUCCUGGUACGAAGAAAAACUAACAUUUAUUGGCUACUUGUCCACUGGAAGGCGUUGUCUUAUUUCUCAUUAACUCCUUGAGUCAGCAUUACGUCUUUUAUUACAGAUGACACAACUACUAAAGCUUUAAAUAGUUCUUUGGGAGCAAAGACGAAAUCUCCAUUUCCUUUUUAGCUGCUGGUAGCUCGACGCUCACUGUUAAAAUAGGGAGGUAAUGAAACAACUCUUGUGUGAGACCGAAAGUCCAGGUGUGCAUCUUGGCCAUUUCCAAGUUAAUCAAGAAGAAUUAAGGAUUCAUUUUAUUCUAUCAAAAUUAUUUCUCAAUGCCAAGAUAUUUUGUGUGACGUAGAUUCGGGGACAGACUGAGUAGCACAAUACCUGGGAAAAGUUAGGUGCUCAGCAAUUAUAAUUGCCCACAUUUGUGAUUGCUUUUGCCUAUGUGCCAGACACUGUUCUACGCACUGAACAUAUCUCAAGUUAUUCAAUCUUCAGGACAACCUUAUGAGCCAAUUAUUAUUAUUACCCAUUUUACAGAUGAGGGAACUGAAACAAAUUUGCCCAAGGUCGCACAACUAGUAGCAGAAUCAAGAAUAAAAAAGCCAAAAAACCCCAAACCCAGGCAAACUUUAAAUGUUCCUUGCAUUGCUAGACUGAAGUAGUGAGAGAAACAGUAAACAGUACGAGUCCAUGAAAACAUUAAAAGGAUGUGAAGUAUGUACAAGUAACUGAAACAUUUAAUGCCCAAACUAAAGACUUAAAAUUUGCUAAGGUAAUAGCACAGGUAGAUUCACACCAAGUAAUCACUGGUAACUGAAGCUACCGGCCAGCAUCCAUUUGCAGUCCGUCUUUGAAGGCAGCUGUGUCCAGAGCAGGUGGUUUAGGAAGCUUUCUAGACUUCCAUUGUCAGAUGUCUCCACGCCUAGAAGAUGGUGCUUUAGUGUUCCUGGGAGGAGACAUGCAGAGAUGGGGUGGCAAUUACAGACAUGCCCACAGAUGGAGAGAAGCCAUUUUUUUCAUCUUUUCCCUUGAACUCUUCUUUGACCUCCAGCCGAAAUGGAGCUUGGCAGCUUUUGUGGGGUUUUUUGUUUUUUUGUUUUGUUUUGUUUUGUUUUGUUUUUGGAGAUGGAGUCUCUCUGUGUCGCCCAGGCUGGAGUGCAGUGGCGCGAUCUCGGCUCACUGCAACCUCCACCUCGCGGGUUCAAGCGAUUCUCCUGCCUCAGCCUCCCGAGU
rnacentral:lncRNA from 1 species